GAUGAACGCUGGCGGCGUGCUUAACACAUGCCAGUCGAACGGAAAGGCUCCUGCUUGCAGGGGUACUCGAGUGGCGAACGGGUGAGUAACACGUGGGUGAUCUGCCCUGCACUUCGGGAUAAGCCUGGGAAACUGGGUCUAAUACCGGAUAGGACGAUGGUUUGGAUGCCAUUGUGGAAAGUUUUUCGGUGUGGGAUGAGCUCGCGGCCUAUCAGCUUGUUGGUGGGGUAAUGGCCUACCAAGGCGUCGACGGGUAGCCGGCCUGAGAGGGUGUACGGCCACAUUGGGACUGAGAUACGGCCCAGACUCCUACGGGAGGCAGCAGUGGGGAAUAUUGCACAAUGGGCGCAAGCCUGAUGCAGCGACGCCGCGUGGGGGAUGACGGCCUUCGGGUUGGAAACUCCUUUCGCUAGGGACGAAGCGUUUUGUGACGGUACCUGGAGAAGAAGCACCGGCUAACUACGUG
rnacentral:rRNA from 1 species